CAACUUUCAACAACGGAUCUCUUGGUUCUGGCAUCGAUGAAGAACGCAGCGAAAUGCGAUAAGUAGUGUGAAUUGCAGAAUUCAGUGAAUCAUCGAAUCUUUGAACGCACAUUGCGCCCCUUGGUAUUCCAUGGGGCAUGCCUGUUCGAGCGUCAUCUGCACCU
rnacentral:rRNA from 1 species